rnacentral:rRNA from 1 species
GACGAACGCUGGCGGCGUGCUUAACACAUGCAAGUCGAACGGUAAGGCCCUUCGGGGUACACGAGUGGCGAACGGGUGAGUAACACGUGGGUGAUCUGCCCUGCACUUCGGGAUAAGCCUGGGAAACUGGGUCUAAUACCGGAUAGGCCUCCUGGCUUCAUGGUUGGGGGUGGAAAGCUUUUGCGGUGUGGGAUGGGCCCGCGGCCUAUCAGCUUGUUGGUGGGGUAAUGGCCUACCAAGGCGACGACGGGUAGCCGGCCUGAGGGGGUGACCGGUCACACUGGGACUGAGAUACGGCCCAGACUCCUACGGGAGGCAGCAGUGGGGAAUAUUGCACAAUGGGCGCAAGCCUGAUGCAGCGACGCCGCGUGAGGGAUGACGGCCUUCGGGUUGUAAACCUCUUUCAGCUAUGGCGAAGCGCAAGUGACGGUAGUAGCAGAAGAAGGACCGGCCAACUACGUGCCAGCAGCCGCCGUAA